AACAUUUUAAAAAAUAUGUAAGAAAUGUGUUCAGUGGACAGAGGCUAAUAUUUGAAAAAUGUGUAAAAUGUAUUUUCUUAUGGGAAAACGUACCGGCCGCAUUUUACACAUUGCUCAAAAAUGUGUAAGAAAUGUGGACAGUGGAAUAAGGAUAUUGUAUAAUACAGAAGCACAAACACACGAUUUAUUUAGUAUUUUAAGUAUGAAAUCUAUAUAUGCUGCUGUAAAACGUAGCAUAGAUACAUCCGCUUCCUAUGCAAUUAUAACGGAUGAUCGAUUGCCAACAGAUAUUAUUCCACAAAGUUACGAAAUUCAUCUAGAACCGAACUACGAAAAAAGUGCAUUCAGUGGGCACGUGAAAAUUAAUUUGAUCUGGAAAUCUGACACAAAUAAAAUUGCGCUUCAUGCUCAUUUUGAUUUAAAUAUUGAUGACAAGAAAAUUAUUCUACGAAAGCUUAAUAAAAAUAACAGUGAUUUAAAGUUAUCUGAAAACAUUACAGUUCUGCGCGGUAGUCGAUUUCCUAAGAAAACAAUUUAUAUUGUUUAUCUUACAGAAAAAAUUAAGCAUGGCUCUGAAUGUGUUUUAGAAAUUCCGUUUGCAGGAUACAUUUGGGAGAGUGCAGAAGGACUUUUUAAAGGAUCUUAUUCAAAUUUGACCUUUUUAGCCACUUACUUGAGACCAAAUAAUGCUCGACGGUUGUUUCCAUGCUUUGAUGAACCUAGAUUCAAAGUACCAUUUACAGUCUCCAUUACAAGAUCCAGACAUUUAAUUACCAUUUUUAAUACGCCGGUUGUUCGUACUAGUGAACAAUGAUUCACCACCGUCUACGAGCUUGACGUUGAAUUACUAGCUAACCUGGAGGCCCGAAGACGCUCCUCACUUAGCUGCGGGAGGAGUUAACCCGAUCAAAUUGAGUAGUGCGAUCAAUGACUCCGUCACGCCUGCCUUGCUUCACCGGUAGCAGAAAAUGUGUUGACGAACAAAGUUGCAACAUACAUGCAGACGGUCGGAUAUCAGGCUCCGCGGAUGAGCCGAAAGAUCAGUAGUCUUGGGGCUAGCAGUU